rnacentral:pre_miRNA from 1 species
UUUUUUAAUUUUUAUUUAUUUUUACUGUUAAAAACUUUUGUAGUUGACAGAAUAAUCAAAUAGUUACAAGCGGAGUGUUACUAUUAUCUCAUUCUGACAUACAAGUAUUAGUUUUUAACAUUAAAAAUAGAUAGAAUUUUAACA